CAACUUGUUAACAAGCUUGCUUUGUAGCACGCUUGUUAACAAAGUUGUGACAAUGCUGUUCUCGUUGCUUACAAACCCUGUUGUAAAAAGUGUUUGUUGACAAGUUGUUGGAACAGCAUUGCCACAACUUUGUUAACAAGCUCAGGGGCAUAGGAAGCUUCUUAAAUUUG